AGAGUGAAUCUGUUAAAAAAGAGAUAUUUACCCCGUUUGUUGUGAUCUUGUUUUUCUGUUUUGAUUUCAUUCGUACUAUGAAUGAUGGCAAGGUAAUAUUUUUUUCGGAAAUUUGUGUGUGGAUUUUCGGGACCAUUCAGACCGGACCAGAUCACUUAAUGGCAGCCGUCGGGAGCAGAGAGUUCUCCGAAAUAAUUUGGUUAAUCGUAUUCUACAGUUUGAAGCACAUUAUCAUGUAGUUCUACGUUUCGUUAAUCACAACAGCAACUUCUCCGGCCGGAGCAGGACCAAGUUACAGUUAAUCUACCGCGGAUGGAUCCUGGUCCGUUUGGUCAGCAGCAGCAGCAAACGUACCCAAAUCACAGAUAGUAGCAGCCGAUACAAAUGCCCUGAAAAGAUGGAAAAGCAUAUCCAAUGCACCCGGUGCAACGAGAAGUUGAAGGAAUUCGAAUAACUGAGCCGCAGAAACAGCGGUCUUAGACUGAGAGUUCGUACGAAUCAGGAAAAUCCGAAGAAAUGGUUCAGGUUGUGCGAUUGCCCUCUCGGCUGGGUAGCAGGCACAUGAUAGAGAUGGCUACUGAAACGAGUUUCAAAAACGCGAUUCCACGAUUCACUUAGAUACACAAAUAAAUUAGUU